GAGUUUGAUCGUGGCUCAGAGCGAACGCUGGCGGCAGGCUUAACACAUGCAAGUCGAACGCCCGUAGCAAUACGGGAGUGGCAGACGGGAGAGUAACACGUGGGAACGUGCCCUUCAGUUCGGAACAACCCAGGGAAACUUGGGCGUAAUACCGGAUACGUCCGAAAGGAGAAAGCUUUAUCGCUGAAGGAUCGGCCCGCGUACUGAUUAGCUAGUUGGUGAGGUAACGGCUCACCAAGGCGACGAUCAGUAGCUGGUCUGAGAGGAUGAUCAGCCUCACUGGGACUGAGACACGGCCCAGACUCCUACGGGAGGCAGCAGUGGGGAAUCUUGGACAAUGGGCGCAAGCCUGAUCCAGCCAUGCCGCGUGGGUGAGUGAAGGCCCUAGGGUUGUAAAGCCCUUUCGGCGGGAAGAUAAUGACGGUACCCGCAGAAGAAGCCCCGGCUAACUUCGUGCCAGCCGCCGCCGU
rnacentral:rRNA from 1 species